rnacentral:rRNA from 1 species
CUCGUAGGUGGUUCGGUAAGUCGGAUGUGAAAUCUCCAGGCUCAACCUGGAGGGGUCAUUCGAUACUGCCGUGACUAGAGUUCGGUAGGGGAGUGUGGAAUUCCUGGUGGAGCGGUGAAAUGCGCAGAUAUCAGGAGGAACACCCGUAGCGAAGGCGGCACUCUGGGCCGAUACUGACACUGAGGAGCGAAAGCGUGGGAGCGAACA